GACGAACGCUGGCGGCGUGCUUAACACAUGCAAGUCGAACGGAAAGGCCCUGCUUUUGUGGGGUGCUCGAGUGGCGAACGGGUGAGUAACACGUGAGUAACCUGCCCUUGACUUUGGGAUAACUUCAGGAAACUGGGGCUAAUACCGGAUAGGAGCUCCUGCUGCAUGGUGGGGGUUGGAAAGUUUCGGCGGUUGGGGAUGGACUCGCGGCGUAUCAGCUUGUUGGUGGGGUAGUGGCUUACCAAGGCUUUGACGGGUAGCCGGCCUGAGAGGGUGACCGGCCACAUUGGGACUGAGAUACGGCCCAGACUCCUACGGGAGGCAGCAGUGGGGAAUAUUGCACAAUGGGCGGAAGCCUGAUGCAGCAACGCCGCGUGCGGGAUGACGGCCUUCGGGUUGUAAACCGCUUUCGCCUGUGAUGAAGCGUGAGUGACGGUAAUGGGUAAAGAAGCACCGGCUAACUACGUG
rnacentral:rRNA from 1 species